GAUGAACGCUGGCGGCGUGCCUAAUACAUGCAAGUCGAACGGGGAGUAGCAAUACUCUUAGUGGCGAACGGGUGAGUAACGCGUUGGUACCUGCCCCGAAGCGGGGGAUAACGGACCGAAAGGUCCGCUAAUACCCCAUGUGCUCGGUAACGAGUAAAGGUGAAAACCACUUUGGGAGGGGCCUGUGUCCCAUCAGCUAGUUGGUAAGGUAACGGCUUACCAAGGCGAUGACGGGUAGGGGACCUGAGAGGGUGGCCCCCCACAAUGGAACUGAAACACGGUCCAUACACCUACGGGUGGCAGCAGUAGGGAAUAUUGGUAAUGGGCGCAAGCCUGAACCAGCAACGCCGCGUGUGCGAUGACGGCCUUCGGGUUGUAAAGCACUUUUGACUGGGACGAGGAAGGACGGUACCGGUCGAAUCAGCCUCGGCUAACUACGUG
rnacentral:rRNA from 1 species